GCAGGUGGCAAGCGUUGUCCGGAAUUAUUGGCGUAAAGCGCGCGCAGGCGGUUCUUUAAGUCUGAUGUGAAAGCCCACGGCUCAACCGUGGAGGGUCAUUGGAAACUGGAGAACUUGAGUCCAGAAGAGGAAAGCGGAAUUCCACGUGUAGCGGUGAAAUGCGUAGAGAUGUGGAGGAACACCAGUGGCGAAGGCGGCUUUCUGGUCUGUAACUGACGCUGAGGCGCGAAAGCGUGGGGGAGCAAACAGGAUUAGAUACCCUGGUAGUCCACGCCGUAAACGAUGAGUGCUAAGUGUUAGGGGGUUUCCGCCCCCUAGUGCUGCAGCUAACGCAUUAAGCACUCCGCCUGGGAGUACGGCCGCAAGGCUG
rnacentral:rRNA from 1 species